GCAGGAGUGGCGGAAUUGGCAGACGCGCAGGACUUAGGAUCCUGUACCGAAAGGUGUAGGGGUUCAAAUCCCCUCUCCUGCA
rnacentral:tRNA from 1 species